UCUGCACAGGUUUUGAUAAAUCUCCCCAUAGAGAUCAUUCCCAGUAUGAGAUUUAUUCCCCUACAGUCCAUACAUCCCCAGCCCGUGCACCUUCUCAUCCUCCCCUUCAGAUAACACUUAUCUUCUCUGUGAGGUCCUUCUCCUGUGCAGACCUGCGUCCUUAGAAUACAGAGCAGGGGGGAGGGGAGGUUAGGAGCUGUGUACUCAGCUGGAUGAGAUGAGGGGGCGUGGCUUAUUUUUCUUAUGCAGACAGAGAAAAAAAAAAGCUGUGACAUCUUGUCCACAACAGACUCAGAACUGUGGACAACAGUAAAAGAAAACCCUCUGAACUACAGAACUUCCUGCCCAACAAACAGUAAAACUACACCUGCACUGUCAAGUUUCGUUCUACUUCUUCAAGCGCUCCGAUGAUGUCCCUGUUUCCCAACCUCUGAUGUCUUCUCCAUAUGCUGAAUGAAUUGCGGUAUUAGAUCUUCUAUACCAGCGGGACCUGUGUGCGGCUGACCACUUUCUGACAUUGCGAAUAUAGGUGUUGUGCUCUGAGCCCCGGAAGAAGACUGAUUGGUGAAACGUUGGGUGUCCGUGAUCUGCCUGGUAUAGUCUUACCCACGUUAGCAGCAGUUUUUCCAGACCACUCUUCAUUUUCUGUGGCUGUGGAGAUGCAGCUGCGUCUGCAACUUAUACCUGUCGUUUACUUGAUUUUAAAUGUAUGUAAUUGAAGUGGUAU